GCUUCUCUUUCUCUUUCCGUGUUACAAGUUCAACGAGGCAACACGUCCGUGUUCGUCCCGCUGUGAGCAAAUAUGGUGAACCACCGUAUUCCUUCGGUCUUCUCGAAGACUUACGUUACCCCACGUCGUCCGUUUGAAAAGCCGCGUCUCGAUGCGGAAUUGAAGAUUAUUGGCCAGUACGGUCUACGCAACAAGCGUGAAGUAUGGCGUGUCAAGUACACGCUUGCCAAGAUCCGCAAGGCUGCCCGUGAGUUGCUCACGCUGGAAGAGAAGGAUGAAAAGCGUCUGUUCCAAGGUAAUGCCUUGUUGCGUCGUCUGGUGCGUAUUGGUGUGCUGGAUGAGUCCCGCAUGAAGCUCGAUUACGUUCUCGGUUUGAGGAUUGAGGAUUUCCUUGAACGUCGUCUGCAGACGCAGGUGUUCAAGCUGGGAUUGGCCAAGUCGUACCAUCAUGCCCGUGUUCUGAUUCGCCAGAGACACAUCCGUUCUCUAGAGAGAUUUUGCAUUGGUCUCGUAUCAUUGCGAAUGAUCGUGAGUGCCACUUAGACUCUGUAGGGUGUAAUUACCUUUCGGUUUCUAACGCCUCACACCAAUUCAGUUCCCUCAUGGUGUUGCUUUAGUAAUAAUCUGGGUGCCUUUGAGCAUACAUGGUAGAAACAUGUGCUAAAGAAUUCAGAUUGUGGCAUCAUCACGAUGGAGAACAUGAAUAUUCUCUGCUGAGUUCUACUCGAUCCUCGGAAGUAUUGCGUACAUGUGCAAGAUGCUGGAAUGCAUCAUGAGCCACCGGAGUCGCACAAUUAAUUUCCUUUCGGAUGAGUGUCCGUAAGCAGGUCGUGAACAUUCCCUCGUUCAUCGUCCGUCUGGAUUCGCAGAAGCACAUCGACUUCUCGCUGAAGUCACCGUUCGGCGGUGGUCGCCCAGGUCGCGUCAAGAGGAAGAACCUGAAGAAGGGCCAGG